UGAAGGAGGGUGGGGGACGGGAAAGAGUGGGUUGUGUUCCUUCUAGAGCUUUUUUAAAUUUUUGUUUUCUUUUGGUUUUGGUUGUUGUUGUUGUUGUUGUUUGCAUGCCAAAGAGAUUAGUUAUUCCAUUAUCUGAGACUUUCAAUUUUAUAAUUAUUUCCCCAAAUAAGGCCCUGUCUGCAUUAGUAGAUAGCUCAGUUGUAUAUAGUGUUUGUAGUUUUUCAUGAAGUCAGCUACUAACCUGCUACAAUAUAACAGACUGUAUAAGUAGACAGCAUUGACAUUUGUGAGAAAUUUCAACAAAAAGGCUAAAUCAGUAAGUUUAGAGUUAGUAGAUAAGGAAAAGAUGCAAAGCAGUUAUUCUUACAACUGAUAUUUUCCCCAGAGUAAAAAGAUAACUGCCUACAAAUGUUGCUGGGGAAUCCAGAGUGAUUGCAGAAAAGAAAAAUCUUCUGGUCUAUAUAUUUGAAUGCAGUGUCAUGCACUAAGAUUUUCUGAACAUUUUCAUCCAUAAUCUUCAGACAGGUUUCUGAUACUAUGGUCAGAAUUGAUGUCAUACCUACCCCUUUUAUAGGUUUACAAAGGAAGAGUACAUCAAUAAUUACCUUUUUAAUUAUUCUGCUCAGUUUUAAUAACACUUGUUAGUGUUUCACCAUGUCUAUCCCACUGUUCUAUACACUCUCUAGGAUUAAAUCUGGUAUUAAGUGCAACAUAAUACCAGAGUCAAAGACUAGACCUCACCUCAUAAGUUUUAAAUUUAAUGGCAGCAAUAUACAAUACGUUGGGGCUGGAGUUGUUGUUGUUUUGUUUUGCUUUGUUUUUGAAUAUGUAAAGGAGAACUUAUAGAUGUAACAAAAGAUACAAAGGGUUUUUUUUUAAAUUUCCAGUUCUUCCCAAACAGAAUUUCAGUCAUUUUCUAAGAGGUGGCCUAAUAGUGACAGGUUGCAUAUUAUACUUUGAGUACUAUUAAUGGAGUAUAUCUGUUGUUAGCUUGGUUUCUAUGUGUGUGCCCUACUGUUAAAACAAAUCACUUACUGAAAAAGAAAGGCUGCAGUUAUGUUUACAUGAAUUGGUUGGCCAAUAAAAGAGAUGCAAUCCUAAUAAUCCAAACUUUUAAUCUAUAUUUUAAAAUACAGUUAAGAACUGAUGUAUAUGUUAGGGAAUGUUCUAGACAGUCCUACAGUUACCCAUUAACAUCUCACUCUGUAUUUAAGCAUUAACCAGUAUGGAAAAUGCAGUUUCUUCAUCAUAUGAAAUGAGUUUAAAUUUUAGAUUUGAUAUGCAUGGCAAUAUAUUAAAUGCUAUGCUUGACUAGAAAGUGUUGUGUGGUAGGAUGGCCUGUUAACCUCCACAAUAUACAUUUUAUUUUUAUUCCCUAGACUUGCACGUGAAGUGCAUAUGUUCAUAUUUACCCAGUUUGGAGAUGGGUAAGAUAUAACCAACAUAGCUCCAUCUCCAUGGCCAUCUUUUAUUUCAUGCAACUUUCGUUUUUCCUGUCCCCCCCCCAAAAAAAAUCCAUUUCUAAUGAACAGCUGUCAUUUUUCACCCAUGUGUUUAAUAGUACAAAAUCUCCUAUAUGAAAU
rnacentral:lncRNA from 1 species